rnacentral:tRNA from 1 species
GUUUCAAAGGAAAGAGGCGGAUUGCAAAUCCGUCCACACCGGUUCGAUUCCGGU